ACUGUAAUUCUAUUAAAUAGUAAUUGAAGGGUCGCGAGAGGCUAUGAUACAGGAUCAGCAGUGUGUAAGCCGCCCGUUUGAACUUUAAUUUGGAAUCCCGGGCAGAUGGGAUCAUGGCCUCUUUGUGGUGCUCGCAGAUUUAAAACUCGCCGGCACAUAGAGGGAAAAACCUGCAAUGCAGAGUCAUUCAUUAAACAUGAAAGGUUGUGGAGGAGAGGCUGCGCAUCCGGACUCCGAGAAAUAACUCUCCUUUAUAUCCCCACCGGGGAGAAGCGCACCUGGAGGACUUCUUUAUGCCGAAUCACGAUCCGCCUGCGAAACUUCAGUCCCACUUUGGGCCGGGGGAAGGCAGCUUUAUUCACCGUUACUUACCACGAGGCAGUACAUCACUGCUUCGCCGUCUCUCCUGUGCGAGGCGCCUCGUCUGACUGUUCCCAAGCCGUCCCCUUCAGAGGGUGCCGGAGCCGAGCUGCGGGCACGGCACAGGGGAAGAAGCUGCAGCCUCAAAGCAGAAAUGAGUGCACUGGAAACUGCACUCUCCCAUCCCCCACGGGCGGAAGGAGAGCGGUGCGGUGGGGCCGCUGUGUGCUCCCGGGGGUGCGCGCUGUGGGACCCUUAGGCCCGAGGCCGCCUCGUCUGAAAACAAAAGAGUUCCCGAGUCUGAGGUCCUCCCCCCUCCCCCGGCUGUGUGGUAUUAAAGAGGCGCUCCCAUUGUUUAUUUCUAAAUAUUUGUGAAGCAGACAGUGUAUGGGUUAACCUAAUUAACACAUCCGCACUGUAUAUUCGUGGACCAAACGGUACGGCGAAUUUCUAAUGUGAUGGCUGAAUGCGAUAGGCAUUGCUGUGCUCCGGGAGAUUACGGCAACACUGGAGCAUUUCCAGAUUGUAGAUGGUUUUAGAUGUUGAAUUUCCAGAUGAGUAUUUACCAUCAUAACUAAUUUAAGACCAUUAUUAAAUAGAAAUUCUCAGCAGGGCUCUUUAAUGAUGGAACACGUUACUAAUUACAGAGUUUACGCUCUGUUUUGGCUAAGCAGUCUAGAG
rnacentral:lncRNA from 1 species